AAGAAAUAUGAGUAUUAGUAGCAGUUCGCGGUAGCACGAAUUCACGAACUGCCACCGAAAGUCCCAAAAUCUUAGCACUACUCUAUUAUAGCACUAAAUUUGCGUUAAGAUAAAAUUUCAUUAAGCGGGAAAGCAAAAAUCAUUAUUAUAGCUGAAAAAAUAUUUUGGAGCCAACACUUAGUCAAUUUUUGGGUUUCCUUUACAUUUUUGUGUUAAAAAAAAAUAGGUUUCUUAUCUCUUUGAUAAAAAAAAAAAAAACUUUCUUAUCUCUAGUCGUCUCUGUCCCUCUCGAGUCUCAUCUCUGCGUUUCCCCCUUUACUCCAUCUCGAGCUCCACCUCGAGCUCCACCACUCUGUGGUCUCCACUCACCCACAAUCGAACAAGGUGGCGCCUCUUGUCCACUCUCGAGCCUCACCGCCGUGCUCUGCUCAUCAAUCCACCGUGCUCUGCUUCACACCGCAACAGUCUGGCCGUCGUCGCCACGUCGGAGCUCUCAUCCAUCGCAAUCCAUCACUGUGUCCGUGACCAAACGACACCACGAUAGCACCUGCUCCAAAUCAAGCUUCUCUGGCGCGUUCUUGCUUCAACGGAAUCAUGCCUCACCGUCGGAAUCAAAGUGGAGAAGAGAAACAAUGGCGUUUCGACAAAAGGUGCUGCUACCAAGUAGUGGGCAUUGGAAGAUGGUACUAACUCUGUCGCUAUGGCUAAGAGAAGAAUGAGAGCCAACUUUGAGUUUUUGAAGAAACUUGGAGUUGAUUGGUGGUGUUUCUACACGUGAGGUGCAGGUGGAGUUCUUCUUGUUUACGACAUCAGCAGACAGCAGACUUUUCAGAGCAUUGGUAGAUGGCUGAACGAGCUGCACACACACUCGGACAUGAACGUUGUGACGUUCUUCGUUCAUUCGUUACGAAUUGGAGUUGAUUGGUGGUGUUGUGUUUUACUUGUCUCUUGACAGGUGGUGUUGCGGAAACGCCUUGCCCAUAUCAAAAGAGAAGUUGAUAAAAAGAUGGUGGAGAAGAGAACUUGGUUUCUUGUGUUCUUCUGUGUCAAGCUUUGAUCUGAGUUAAGUGAGAUUCGGUUUGGAUUAGAUGGUGAAGGAAACAGAGUAAUAUGAUGUGCUCGGCGUUAGCCCAAGUGCUACUGAGUCUGAGAUCAAGACUCAGUUUGUUUAUGACUAGAUUUGAUGGUUAUAUGUUCUUUUAUGGAGUUCGUGUAUUUCAUGUAUUGAUUUUGUAUGUUUUGAUUCUUUGAUGGAAAAACAUGUGGUAUUAUAUGAUUUAUUUGUGUUUUAUUAGAGUAAAUUAUAUUUAUUAAUCUUAUUGCAAUUAUAUUAUAAACAUUAUGCUUAAAAAUUAAAUUAUCAUUUUACAAAUUUAGGGAUAUAUAAUUUUAACAAAGUGACUAGCUAGAUUUAUUUUUAACCUCUAUACCCUAAAUAUAUUUUUAAUCUCUAAACCCUAAAAUUAAUCAUAAAAUAUAAAUUUUAAACUUUAAGAAUUUAUAUGAAUCAAUAUAAAUAUACUAAUGUAACCUGAAUCCAUCUAAUACCCUAAACAUUAACCUUCAAACUUAGAUAAUAUAACAAUGCAAAACUGAUUUUAUAUAAUUAAUUAGAUAUAAAAUCAUCAUUUAUUGUAAAAUAAUUGUAUUUUUAAUUUAUAUGAUUGAGUGUAAAAUUAAAAGAUAAAAAUUGAUUAAUUAGAGUUUUGUUUUAAAAUAUUUAUAUAUAUAUAUACUAGUUUAGGGGUUCAUAUGUUUAGUGUGAUACUAUUAUAUCAAGUUUGACGUAGUCAAACCUUAAACCCCUAAACUUUGCUCCAAACCCUAAACCCCAAAACUUAACCUUAAACUAUAGACAUAUAUCAUAACCCAAAUUAGUCAUAUACACUAAACUCUAACUAAAAAUCUUAAAAUUUUAAAUGUAUAUCAUACCACCGAUCAUAUACCCUAAAUCAUACUUAUAUCAUAAACUCACAUCUUUAAUCUCUAAUUUUAAAUAUAAAAAUAAUAUAAGUAGUUGUUAAAAAAAAAAAAUUUAUAUAACCAGUUGUUACAAAAGUUAAAUUUUAAAAUCUUAACCUCAUACUUAUAUAGCUAAACUCUGAAUCCAUACUCCAAAUUUCAAACCAUAUAUAAUAAACAUAACCUUUAAACUUUAAAUUUUAAUAUUUUAGUUCACAUUUAAUCAUAUACUUCAUUCUAAAUCUUAACCCUAAACCCUAAACCAAAUACCUCAUAUUAACAUAUAUAUAUCAUAAUACAUUAAAUCUUAAUUUUUAAAUAAAUUAUAUUCAUACAAGAAAAACAUACUACUCCAAACUAACAACAUUUCACAUUAUACAUUUACAAAAUAAAAUUAAACCACCAAAUAAUAAACCAAAAAAUACAAUCUAAUCUUUUCAGUCAAACCCUAAACC